ACUGGUCCUCCACCUGAGUAAGACAUCUCCUACCCAACUCUAUCUCAAUAGGGAUACUUUUGUAAGUGGAUGUAGACUGCAUGCCAUUUGCCUCUAGCAGACCACCAUUGUUUACCUUCACUUUUUCAGAUCCACAUGUACUCUCAGAUCUUUCUGUAAGAAUCAGAUCUAGGGUUUCAGGGUUAGAUCUUGAAACUUUUUCAAGAUCAGGC
rnacentral:lncRNA from 1 species